rnacentral:rRNA from 1 species
ACGGAAGGCAGCAGUGGGGGAUAUUGGGCAAUGGGCGAAAGCCUGACCCAGCAAUGCCGCGUGAGGGAAGAAGGCUUUCGGAUUGUAAACCUCUGUCCUUGGUGACGAAGAAAAUGACGGUAGCCAAGGAGAAAGCCCCGGCUAACUACGUGCCAGCAGCCGCGGUAAUACGUAGGGGGCGAGCGUUGUCCGGAAUUACUGGGCGUAAAGGGUGCGUAGGCGGCAUGCUAAGUUGGAUGUGAAAUACCCGGGCUCAACCUGGGACCUGCAUCCAAUACUGGCGUGCUAGAGUGCAGGAGAGGCAAGCGGAAUUCCUAGUGUAGCGGUGAAAUGCGUAGAUAUUAGGAGGAACACCAGUGGCGAAGGCGGCUUUCUGGACUGUAACUGACGCUGAGGCACGAAAGCGUGGGGAGCAAACAGGAUUAGAUACCCUGGUA